rnacentral:rRNA from 1 species
AUUGAACGCUGGAGGCAGGCCUAACACAUGCAAGUCGCACGAGUGGCGGACGGGUGAGUAAUGGCUGGGAAACUGCCUGAUGGAGGGGGAUAAAUACUGGAAAUGGUACAUAAUACCGAAUACCCUCGGCUGUGCCCAGAUGGGCGUGGCUAGUAGGUGGGGUAACGUCUCACCUAGGCGACGAUCCCUAGCUGCUCUGAUCGGAUGACCCGCCCCACUGGAACUGCGCCACGGCCCAGCAUCCUACGGGAGGCAGCAGUGGGGAAUAUUGCACAAGGGGCGAAAGCCUGAUGCAGCCAUGCCGCGUGUAUUAAGAAGGCCUUCGGGUGGUAAAGUACUUUCAGCGUGGAGGCGUUACCCGCAGAAGAAGCACCGGCUAACUCCGUGCCAGCAGCCGCGGUAAUAC